rnacentral:tRNA from 1 species
GCACAUCUGACAGGGUGUUUGGUUCAUAACUCAGAGGUUAUGGGUUCGAAUCCCUUGAUGUGCC